ACCGAAUAAUUUGGACUACACGAACAUAAGGCGCACGUUGGUUGAGAUUGAUGGAGUUGAAAGUGUUCAUUCGCUACAUAUCUGGUCACUGACGGUAGGGGUCAACGCAAUAGCCGUGCAUCUCACACUGGCUAACUUAUACGAAGGGAAGCCAGUAGAUGGACAAGAUAUUCUUAGCAGAGCUCAAAAACUCCUGAAAGUAAGAUUCAAUUUGCACGUAUCAACGAUACAGGUUGAAACAUACGAGGCACGCGAUUGGUGCUCCUACCGCUCGGACGUGUGUGACUUUGCUGAUAGUUAAACCAUGGAGGAAUAAGUCUAAACUCAUUGUGGUUCAUUUGAUGGUAUCCUGUAAAUAAUAAAUCUAUUUAUUUAAAAUCGUUAAAUUUCCAGAAUCUUAACGAGAAUUGUAAUCAGCUGUACUCAAUAUGGAAUUAUUGUAUAGGCCUACAUUGUGCACUAGGUGCACGCGAAACGCGAAUUUGCCUUUCGUAUUUUUCAUUAUUAAGCUUGUGUAAGUGAGUCGAAUUGACAGCAGUAAUAUAGGCCUGAGGUCUAAUGUAACGUAAUGUAAAGAAUGUAUGCAAUUUAAAGAUAUGCACAUAGCCAUCAUAUAGCCUAAAAAUUAAGAGAUGUGUUAUUAUAUUAUUAUUAUUAUUAUUAUUAUUAUUAUUAUUAUUAUUAUUAUUAUUAUUAUUAUUAGUAGUAGUAGUAGUAGUAGUAGUAGUAGUAGUAGUAGUAGUACUUUUUACUAUUUGUUAUUAUUAUUAUUAUUAUUAUUAUUAUUAUUAUUAUUAUUAUUACAAUCAUUAUUGUAGUCAUAAUAAUAACAUUAAUGUUAUUGUUGGUUUUUUUUCUCUUUUAUGUCAACCUCAUCCCUCACUUCACCAUCACCCUGCUCGAUGCAAUGCAUUCCAAUAUUCACUCUUUCAUCAUCUAAUCAUCUGGAACAGACUUCCAAUUGCUACACGCUUAUCCUCAUCCGUCUCUUGUUUUCUCUGCUCUCGACCACCUGCGUUAAGCUACUUGCAUCUUGUAUUUACUUAUUUGCUUAUUUAGGCCUAUGUCUUGUUUAUGUAUAUACUUAUUCUUUUUUAUGUAGUUAUUUAUUUAUUUUUUAUUUAUUUAUUUUUCUUUUCUUUAUUUAUUUUUAUUGUUGGUAAUUAUUGUAUUAUCUUAAGUAUAACGUUGGCCUACUGAUUUUUUUUUCUAAAAAUAUUGAAUUGUUAUUCUGAUAGGUAUCUUGAUAGAUAGAUCAUUCCAUUUGUUACCUAUUUCUUAUUUGAGUUAAAUAAAAUUAUGAAUUAUUAAGUAAGUAGAGAGGGUGUGAGCCCUUAGAAGAAAAAUACAAAAACUGUACUGAUAAAACACUUCUUUAUUAAAAAAUUUAAUUAGACAUGUUGUUUAUGAUUUUAACAAACUAAUGAACUUAUCUUCGGAAGGAAAUUUGUGAUGCAUUGUUUCAGUUCAACGUAGCAAGGAAAUACUAAAGUAAAAAAAUAUUCGUUCCCAA